UCGUGCUUGUUUGCUCAUCUUAUGUUUUAGGUUCCUUGCUAGCCUUUCUGCAAACGUUAUAUUAAUUCAGCCUGUUUCUGGUGAUUGUAGGGAAAGAGUACAACAUAUAAAUAUUGAGUUUUCUAGAAAUGGAGGCUGUUUCUGUUUUUGGUAUUGUAGAGCAAUGUCAUAGCCUUGCCACAUCUGAACUAAGAGAACCCCAGCCUCCAGAGCCUUUACCACCUGUUGUAGCAAUCUUCCCAUGUAUCGUUUGGGUUAAUUUCCUCAUUUUAUUAGAUUUCUUUUGCCUUCUGUUUCUUCAGUUAUUACAAUUUUUUAUUAACCAAAAUAUGCUAUUUUUCCCCCA
rnacentral:lncRNA from 1 species